rnacentral:tRNA from 1 species
GCGGUCGUGGUGAAGUAGGUUAACACAUCGGGUUGUGGCUCCGACAUGCGCGGGUUCGAGUCCCGUCGAUCGCCCCA